CAACACUCCAUCGGUCUCUCUCUCCUCUCAUUUUCAAAAUCCCCAAAUUCAUCUUCAAUUAGAGAAAACCCUAAAUUGGAAGGAAAUCAGCGGCGCCCCCUUUCCUCUCCCAGUCCAUCUCGCUUUUCUCCGCCGUUCCAUCAGGGUCGUCGGGCACCGCCGGCGUUUUCUUCUUCUUUACGGCGGAGUCACGGUGGGCUCUCGCAUCCUUCGGCAAAGUCACCGAUAGGGAGAAGGCGUCGCCUUUUUCCUCCACAGCGUCGCUCCUUGGUGAAUAGCCAUCACCCGCGGCAGCGUGUACCCCCCUCCCCUUCGGCGACACUCAGCUCCUCUGCCACCGGGUAUGAUGCACAGGUAGUAGCCUCGCCGCCCCCCUCCGUCGCCUCGCCGUUUGUGAAAACUGCUCCAGCUCGCCCUCCGCCGCUGUUGGCUGCCCGUAGCACGGGUGGAAGCUGCUGCUAUCCUGUGGAGUCCGCGCGGCUGCCUUCGCGAUGGCUCGUCGGAGCAGCCUUUCGGCUUUAAAGCUAAGUCCUCUAUCUUACCCAAUUAAUAGAUUAUGAUUGAUAUUCUUAAAUUUUUAGGGAGCUGAGCAUGUGGCAGAUUUACAACUGAACCUAGGCUUAGAGUUAUGCAUUAAUUUUGCUGGCUGAGGGGUUUAACCUUUCUUGAAGGAAACUUGUUAUGACAUGAGGGUUUCUAUUUUGUGAGUACUACAUAUGCUACCAAUCUUGGUGUAGAGGCAUUAACUUGUUGCUUCUAUUUCUAGUGCUUCUACAUGAUGACAUGAGAAAAUGGUAUUUAGACUUGGGAUGGAGAGAAAGUGUUACCUGUUGAGAGGCAGUGAAAAAGGGAAGAUGAACUCUCUUGUUGCUACUUACUCUCAACUCUCACUGAAAUUUGCUGGAUUUUCGAUGUGUGGGAGGGAAAAAAAUUGAUGCAUAUGAUGGGGUUUUUUUUAUAGGCAAAACUUGGUGUACUUGGUGCAAUAAAAGAGGCUGAUAUUUUAGUUGUCCUCAUGCUGCAGUAUAUCCCCUUAUUUGGUCCACGUUGUAGCACUUUAACUUAAGACUUUUGGUGUUAUUUGUAGUACUAAGUACUUGACCAUUAACUUCAUCUUGUUCCCAUAUGAUCACCUAGUAAUUAGCUAUUAACUUCCAUUGUUUGCUUGUGGCUGGUAAGAAAACAGGUUCUUCCAGGGGUGUAAGGUUUUGCAAGGUUUGACUUGCUCUCUUUGCUCUCGGUUGGGUGGGGGAAAGGGCUGGAGAUUAUCUGCCAUUUCAGGCAAGCCUUGAGUUCACUCUUGAAUGGUGGGAAGGGGACCUGGGGCUGCCAUGUUGAUGUCCGAGACAUGGGCUCGCUGCCUUCGGCCUGACGGGCUGAUCGGACAUGGGCUGUGGGGUCUCGAGGGUUGGGCUAGUGAAAACGAGGCCCAACAUGCAUUUUUUUGUAAUAGCAUUCAUGAUUCAUUUUUUUCUCAACUCAUAAACCCACAUAUUUUAAUUAUGUAAGCUAAUGUAGGUUGAGAUGAA